ACGCAAUACUCCAGAUGGCAGCGCAGUGGUAGCAUUGCUUCCUUACACCGCCAGAGACCUGGGUUCGAUCCUGACCAUGGGUGCUGUGUGUAAGGAGAUUGUAUGUUCUCACUGUGACCUGCGUGGGUC